GAGGCUGUACAUAGUCCUACUGUGACCAUGUGGGCUCUUAAGUAGCUAUCAUUUAGUAUUUGGGACAGUCCAUUUGUCUGGGGGAGAGCCACUUGUGCGGUUUAUCAGGUAUCAUACUCCAGUCCAAUAAGCACCUAUACAUUGUUUGCUAACCGCCAUUCAAAGAACCAACGAAGAAGACGAACACUUAGUGUGUGAUUUCGAAUUCUGGUGGAGGCAAAUCUCAGAAAAUUACGACCACAAACUUUCUCAACAAUUGUGCCCAGACUUUUUCAGAAUGUACUCGACUUUUAUCUUCAGAUGACCAGGAUUCCAUACAGACUGUUCUAACCAGGUUAGAGAUAAUGGCGACGAGCGUUCGCUGGAGCAGAGUGCGACUGCUUCAAUCUGGAGUGGUGGAUGAGAUGCUUUUGCUCAUUAGCGAGUUAGUUCGGGAAGCCAACGAUCAACAACAACAACCUGUUGCUUCUGGUUUCACCGUACCUCGAAUGGGAGGACAGACUGGAGGAAGGCCGGUUUACCAAAUCGCCCAAGAGCAGUUGCAGAUGUUGUUGUCCUUUAACUUCUCUGCUAAACAGAUUGCGGAGAUCGUGGGUGUCUCAAGAAGAACAGUGAACCGACGGUUAAGACAGCACAAUUUCAUCUUUUACAGACCAGAUGAUGCACUUGAUCUGAAGGUGCUGCUAUUCGGAGUAUGUCCCACAGGCUUCGGAGGAGAACACAUCGAGUGGCAGGGUCAAAUUCGCUGUGGCAUCUUGAUCGCAACCACAAGCUCUUAAAGCGGAGGAUUGUAAUCCAUGGAGGAAUCGAUGGGCUCAGCCGACUGGUGGUUUUCCUGAAGGCUUCUAACAACAACAGAAGUGACAUUGUAAUGGACCUGUUUUCGGAAGCAGUCGCCCAGUUUGGUGUCCCAUCCAGAGUCAGAUCUGACUAUGGAGGGGAAAACAACGCCAUUUGUCUCCUCAUGGAUGUCUUCCGAGGAUCAACCCGAGGGAGCACUCAUAAUCAACGCAUUGAAAGACUGUGGGGUGAUGUCUGGAGAGGCGUGACAAAAAAACGCAGAGUCCUACGUAGUGUGGUCAGGUCGGCUGAGUUUAUCAUCGACAGGAAGCUCCCAGCCCUACAGGACACCUACCAAACACGAUGCCUCAGGAAAGCUGGCAAGAUUCUAAAAGACUGCUACCACCCAUCUUUCAGUCUCUACCCCGCUGCUUUCUGGACAGCUGGCAGGAUUCUAAAAGUCUGCUACCACCCAUCUUUCAGUCUCUACCCCGCUGCCUUCUGGACAACAGUUUCUAUCCAAGGGCUGGCCGGCUUCUGAAUGACCAUUUACAUGGACAGUUCUCACUAGCCACUUUACAUUGAUGCAUUUCUCACUAGUCACUUUACACACUGUCACUUUCAGCUACUGGUUACACUAUCAGCAAUAUUGCACUAACUGUACCCCACUUGUCUUAGGUUAGUAUAGGUGUAAGGUUAGUAUAGGUCAUUAUCUGUAUUAGAGGUCUAAUAUAUUGUAUACUAUUUUGUAUAUUUAGGAGGUUUAUAAUUUAUCAUAUUUUUUUUAGCUUAUCAUAAAUGUAAUCUAAGUACUUAUUAUGUUAUGCCAGGUUGCUUUGCAUUGUCUUGUCCCAAAAAUGUCAGUGCCCAGUCUGACUUUGUGGUGUUCUGUGUAGCUGACAAUAAGACUUGAAACGGAUGUCUAGCACUCCUUGUUUACAUAUCUAUAUAGAAAAUUAAGGAAUCAUUAUUG